UUUUUAUGUAAGAGACUAGCUUUUGCCCGCGACUUCGUUCGCGUGGAAUAGUGACUUCCGGCAAAUUUUUGGUUUUAACCACAUAGUUCCCGAUCUCGCGGGAUCUCUUCAAAAAUGAGAUGUGGAAGAUAUUCCAGGAACUCUUCAAAAAUCAACAUAAUGAGCUCUGCGUUUGAAUUUAAUAGAUGUAUACUCACUUAGGGCAUUGAAAAAAUAGUUUAAAAACGGACUUAAACUAACUUAAAACUAAAGAAAGCUACGAAUUACGAAUUUAUAACAAUUAAAAAAGAAACUAUAUUAUAACCUAUCCUCUAUGCUAUAAUAACCAAGCUUAAACUAAAUAAUUUAAAAGAAACGACUUAAAUCUAAUCUAAUUAAAAAAAAAAUUAGACUUACAAUUUUAUUAAAAAAAAACUAACUACAGUAACUACUAAUAAUCGAUAUCAAACUAAACCUACGUUAAAUAGUUUAACCAAAAAACCAGGAAAACCCAACAAAUAAACUUAUUAAUUGACAAAUACAACGAAACCAAUUUAGAAUAUACGAAACAGCAGGACCACUACAGACAAAUAAUCAUACGACUGAUAAUAAACUUUUUCUACGAUAGUACCGAAGCGCUCGGCCGAUACCCAACCAAAUGAAUGUAACGAAACCAUAGCGCGAUCUAUUUCGAUCCCAACGCCAUCUAUCGAGGAUAAAGACAACUUGGAUUAUUUAUUUAUACUCCGUUCGGGCAUUUUCUUUGUACUAAAAGUUUAAUUAUAUUGAUAUUAUUUUUUUCAUACCUUUUUACUAUUUAUUUACUUUUUUUCGAUGAAUUAAAACAAUAACAUGAACCGAAGUCGUGUAACGAUCGACAUAGAAUUAUUUAUACUCCGUUAGAGCAUUUUCUUUGUACUAAAUGUUUUAUUACAUAUAUUGAUAUUAUUUUUUUCAUACCUUUUUACUAUUUAUUUACUUUUUUUCGAUAAAUUAAAACAAUAACAUGAACCGAAGUCGUGUAACGAUCGACAUAGAAUUAUUUAUAAAUAAUUUAUUUCUUAUUUUUAUUUUUUGAUUUUUGAAAUAAAAAUAUAUCUAUGUCCUUUCUAAGGUUCUAAACUAUAUCUGUACCAAAUUUCAACCAAAUCCGUCAAAUAGUUGCGGAGAUUAAUGGUAUAAGCAUAGAAUGUUCGACGUGAUUCUUUAAUUUGACAUAACUUUUUUAUUUAUGAACCGAUUGACAUGAAACAAACACUAAAUGUAAAUUUAAGCAUCCCACAAUAUAUUCGUGAAAACCGCAUCCAACUCGGAUCAGCCGUUUCUGAGAUUAGCGCGCACAGACGAACAGACAAACAGACAAA